AAUAGAUACCCCGGUAGUCCUGGCCCUAAACGAUGAGUGCUUGGUGUGGCGGGGUAUCGAUCCCUGCCGUGCCGAAGCUAACGCAUUAAGCACUCCGCCUGGGGAGUACGGUCGCAAGGCUGAAACUCAAAGGAAGUUGACGGGGGCCCGCACAAGCGGUGGAGCAUGGUGGUUUAAUUCGACGCAGCGCGAAGAACCUUACCCAGGCUCGAAAUGCAGACGAUCGCCGGUGAAAGCCGGUUCCCGCAAGGGCGUCUGUAUAGGUGCUGCAUGGCUGUCGUCAGCUCGUGUCGUGAGAUGUUGGGUUAAGUCCCGCAACGAGCGCAACCCUUGUCUUCUGUUGCCAUCAGGUCACGCUGGGCACUCUGGAGAAACUGCCGGUGACAAACCGGAGGAAGGUGGGGAUGACGUCAAGUCAGCAUGGCCUUUAUGUCUGGGGCUACACACGUGCUACAAUGGCCGGUACAAACCGCUGCAAACUCGCGAGGGUGAGCUAAUCGGAGAAAGCCGGUCUCAGUUCGGAUUG
rnacentral:rRNA from 1 species